AGUUCCGUGUUCUAGUGGUAUGAUUUCUGCUUCACACGCAGAAGGUCCCGGGUUCGAUCCCCGGCGGGACUA
rfam:Schizosaccharomyces cryophilus OY26 unplaced genomic scaffold supercont4.8, whole genome shotgun sequence.